GACGAACGCUGGCGGCGUGCUUAACACAUGCAAGUCGAGCGAGGCCCCUCCUUCGGGAGGGUGUCCUCGCGGCGAACGGGUGAGUAACACGUGGGCAACCUGCCCUCAGCUCUGGGAUAACUCCGGGAAACCGGGGCUAAUACCGGAUACGACCUCCACGGGCAUCUGCGGAGGUGGAAAGUUUUUCGGCUGAGGAUGGGCCCGCGGCCUAUCAGCUAGUUGGUGGGGUAGUGGCCCACCAAGGCGACGACGGGUAGCCGGCCUGAGAGGGCGACCGGCCACACUGGGACUGAGACACGGCCCAGACUCCUACGGGAGGCAGCAGUGGGGAAUAUUGCGCAAUGGGCGAAAGCCUGACGCAGCGACGCCGCGUGAGGGACGAAGGCCUUCGGGUUGUAAACCUCUUUCAGCAGGGACGAAGCGAAAGUGACGGUACCUGCAGAAGAAGCACCGGCCAACUACGUG
rnacentral:rRNA from 1 species